rnacentral:rRNA from 1 species
UUGAAAAGAACUUUGAAGAGAGAGUUCAAGAGUACGUGAAACCGUUCAGGGGUAAACCUAAGAAACCCAAAAGAUCGAACGGGGAGAUUCAUCGUCAGCGACGUUGGCUUCGCGUCGGUGGGCGAUGUCGCGCGGGGCCUCGCGGCUCGCAGCGCUGACACGCUGCCGUGCGUCGAUGUCCGACGUUCGUCGUCGUGCACUUCUCCCCUAGUAGAACGUCGCGACCCGCUGGGUGUCUGUCUACGGCCCGGGUGCGGUGACUGACGCGUCGCCGGUAAAACGGUACGCGUCAAACCCUCGGUCGCCCGGCCGGCUGCCCGGCGGUACACGCAAGGUAUCAGGCCGCAGAUCUCUCUCUUCCUCGGGAGAGAGAGUAUGCGUCGAGGCCGUCGCAAGCGCGCGCCACGGUACACGGAGGCUUACGGACCUAGUGCCGUCCCCGGUCCUGGCCCGCUGUUGGUCGUACGGUUAACCUUCGACAGGCCUACAAACGUCCACCCCCCUCACGGGGGGGAGACCGAUACCGGUCGGCGACGCUACUGCUUUGGGUACUCUUAGGACCCGUCUUGAAACACGGACCAAGGAGUCUAACAUGUACGCGAGUCAUUGGGACUAGCGAGUGAAACCUAAAGGCGUAAUGAAAGUGAAGGUCGUCCCUGGUUGUCGACCGAGGGAGGAUGGGCCGCGUCUCGACGCGGCUCCGCACUCCCGGGGCGUCUCGUUCUCAUCGCGAGAAGAGGCGCACCCAGAGCGUACACGUUGGGACCCGAAAGAUGGUGAACUAUGCCUGGUCAGGACGAAGUCAGGGGAAACCCUGAUGGAGGUCCGUAGCGAUUCUGACGUGCAAAUCGAUCGUCGGAACUGGGUAUAGGGGCGAAAGACUAAUCGAACCAUCUAGUAGCUGGUUCCCUCCGAAGUUUCCCUCAGGAUAGCUGGCACUCGGCCGUUCCGCACGGAACGCGCGCGAGUCUCAUCUGGUAAAGCGAAUGAUUAGAGGCCUUGGGGCCGAAACGACCUCAACCUAUUCUCAAACUUUAAAUGGGUGAGAUCUCUGGCUUUCUUGAACUAUGAAGCCACGAGCAUCUCGGAUCAGAGUGCCAAGUGGGCCAUUUUUGGUAAGCAGAACUGGCGCUGUGGGAUGAACCAAACGCAGAGUUAAGGCGCCCAACUCGACGCUCAUGGGACACCAUGAAAGGCGUUGGUUGCUUAAGACAGCAGGACGGUGGCCAUGGAAGUCGGAAUCCGCUAAGGAGUGUGUAACAACUCACCUGCCGAAGCAACUAGCCCUGAAAAUGGAUGGCGCUGAAGCGUCGAGCCUAUACUCUGCCGUCAGCGGCAAGUGGGGCGGUCGCGUGGUACUUUUGUCUACGCGUCGCCACGAAGCCCUGACGAGUAGGAGGGUCGCGGCGGUGUGCGCAGAAGGGUCU